CCUACGGGAGGCAGCAGUGGGGCAUAUUGCGCAAUGGGCGAAAGCCUGACGCAGCGACGCCGCGUGAGGGAUGAAGGUCUUCGGAUCGUAAACCUCUGUCAGCAGGGAAGAACGGUCACUGUGCUAAUCAGCAGUGCAUUGACUGUACCUGCAAAGGAAGCACCGGCUAACUCCGUGCCAGCAGCCGCGGUAAUACGGCGGGUGCGAGCGUUAAUCGGAAUUACUGGGCGUAAAGCGCUCGUAGGCGGUAUGUCAAGUCAAGGGUGAAAUCCCCGCGCUCAACGUGGGAACUGCAUUGGAGACUGGCAAACUGGAGUGUGUGAGAGGAUAGUGGAAUUCCAGGUGUAGGAGUGAAAUCCGUAGAUAUCUGGAGGAACAUCAGUGGCGAAGGCGACUAUCUGGCACAUAACUGACGCUGAGGAGCGAAAGCGUGGGUAGCAAACAGGAUUAGAUACCCCUGUAGUC
rnacentral:rRNA from 1 species